CAGGACGAACGCUGGCGGCGUGCCUAAUACAUGCAAGUCGAACGGUCUUUUCUAUGGAAGCUUGCUUCCACUGAGAAGAUAGUGGCGAACGGGUGAGUAACACGUGGGUAACCUGCCCAUAAGAGGGGGAUAACAUCCGGAAACGGGUGCUAAUACCGCAUAGUUUUCUUGAUCGCAUGAUCGGGAAAGGAAAGACGGCCUUUGUGCUGUCGCUUAUGGAUGGACCCGCGGCGUAUUAGUUAGUUGGUGAGGUAACGGCUCACCAAGACGAUGAUACGUAGCCGACCUGAGAGGGUGAUCGGCCACAUUGGGACUGAGACACGGCCCAAACUCCUACGGGAGGCAGCAGUAGGGAAUCUUCCGCAAUGGACGAAAGUCUGACGGAGCAACGCCGCGUGAGUGAAGAAGGGGUUUUCGGAUCGUAAAACUCUGUUGUCAGAGAAGAACAAGUUGGAGAGUAACUGCUCCAGCCUUGACGGUAUCUGACCAGAAAGCCACGGCUAACUACGUGCCAGCCGCAGC
rnacentral:rRNA from 1 species